UUAAAAUACAAUACUUCCCAAAAUUUGUCCAUCAUUUCAACAAACCAUUGUAAACAUACAAAAACCAACAUCAAAUCCAAUUUACUCCAACAUCAAAUCCACAGCUAAACCAACAUAAUAUCCAGAAUCGACCAACUACCAGCAAACUAACAGUUUAAUAACAAAAAGUCUAGAUAUAUAACCCCAUACUAUUAGCUAGUCAAAAUAACUUCAACGAACCAAAGUCUAAACAACCAUACUAUUAGCAAACUAGAAGCUGGUGCCUUUAGUCAUUGGUGUGCCAUCGUCAUUGUCACUGGCCACAUGUGCACACAGCUCUGUAACAUCAAUUGUGAACGGGUUUGCUUCACCAAGUUUCUUAAGGACCGAUGCCAAAUUUUGUUGCACCUUCCUGUUUACCUGCUCAUCUACCUCUUCUUGGAUUUUCUUCACUUUUUCCUCGACUUCAGCAGCAAGGCCUUCCUUAAUUUUUGUUGUCAAUUCUUUGACAUAUGUAUCCGUUGGAGCAGCAGCUGAUAGUUUUUGCGGCUUCUUGCAUCUCCCUAAGAGCCAAGUCGGGCCAUGCUCUUUAUCCAAAAGCAUUUCAUCAGCAGCCUCCCCGGAGUUGAUUUUUUUUGUUAAUUUUAUCCUACAAAAGUACAAUAACAUGAACAUAAACGAGCAAAUGCAAAACAGAGAAAACUGAAAGGGCAAAUAUUAUGUGUAACUGAUUAAGUUAAAUACUUACAAUUUUCUUUUUCAUUGUUUUAGUACUG
rnacentral:lncRNA from 1 species